rnacentral:lncRNA from 1 species
ACCCUCGUGGCCCAGAUAAUGUAGCAGCAGGUUACUGCUCUGAUGAAUAGGAAUGUUGAUCAGUAGAUGUAGGGCUUUCUAGUCUUAGAAGAGAUCAAUUUCUUCUUCUUUAUGAAGAAUGAUUCCUUUGCAGUGCUGCUGAGAGCUGUGGACAUUUACACCAGAGUUAAUCACUCCCAGAACAAUCCAACCAUUACAGCUUUCUUCCUUUUACCAUGAGAACGGUCAAUAAAGUGGGUGCAAAACCAGCUCACAAAUGACAUUGCAGAUGCUGCUGGCAGGAGAGAGAAAGGAGAGAGAAUUUUCCAAACCUGAAAAUAACCCUUGUCUCCAAAGUCACAGGGCUCUGGUCCUGGAUGUCCGCACUACAGACUUACUAGUUUGAUCUCUGUUUAUUCUUGAACUGUUCAAGUAGAUGUGAUUGGAAAAUUCAGGAAAUUGUGGUUAGGGCACAGAGAAUAACUCCUUCCACAGGGUGCACCAUGUCUCACUCUUCCUACCUGAGAAAAUCCACCAGCAAUAACACCUGAAUAGGCCAUAAAAAGGAGCUCAUGACACUUCCCUGAAGGACAGAGAUCAUGCAAGGGAACAGCCUUUAAUGAACAUUUGAUAAGCACUGCAAGAGCACAGCACUAAGAGGUUGAGACAAGCUCUGGAGCCACUUUACCUCAGUUCUAUUACACCUCACCACCCCUGCUCAAGGGACAUAGAGCUGGGACAGUCACUCACCACCCAGACACAGCCCCUUGGUCCCAGGUCCCCUCCCUGGUGACUGGCUAUGGGAUGCAUCAUCACUGCAGCCUCUGGACCCUGAGUGUCACUCAGUGAUUCUGUACUGCUCUCCUGACUGUCCU